rnacentral:rRNA from 1 species
UGGGGAAUAUUGCACAAUGGGCGCAAGCCUGAUGCAGCCAUGCCGCGUGUAUGAAGAAGGCCUUCGGGUUGUAAAGUACUUUCAGCGGGGAGGAAGGCGAUAAGGUUAAUAACCUUGUCGAUUGACGUUACCCGCAGAAGAAGCACCGGCUAACUCCGUGCCAGCAGCCGCGGUAAUACGGAGGGUGCAAGCGUUAAUCGGAAUUACUGGGCGUAAAGCGCACGCAGGCGGUCUGUCAAGUCGGAUGUGAAAUCCCCGGGCUCAACCUGGGAACUGCAUUCGAAACUGGCAGGCUAGAGUCUUGUAGAGGGGGGUAGAAUUCCAGGUGUAGCGGUGACAUGCGUAGAGAUCUGGAGGAAUACCGGUGGCGAAGGCGGCCCCCUGGACAAAGACUGACGCUCAGGUGCGAAAGCGUGGGGAGCAAACA